AAGGGCAUCGAUUUCCUUACAGUAGACAAGCGUAAAAAAAAAAAAAAAGGGAAACAAAAACGUGCUGGAAGAGGCAAGGCAUUGGUGAAAAAGGCUCUAGAAAAAUUCAAAGUUGCAAACUAACAAGAAUACAAGGAAAACUCUAUAAUGUACCAAACAAUAUACCAAAUAAAUAUUGUCAACAAGCUAAAAACCAUGAGAAUUAAUGCAAAGCAAUUGAAGAGAACAAACAAUAGUUCAAGUAAUCAAGAUGAGAAAAGCUUUGAAAAAGGAAAGAAUUGUUUUGUAGAAGAGAUGCAUCAUGAACUUUUCUUAGGGGAAAGGUAGGUGAAAGUCGUUUGUCAAGAUCAUGGAUAAAUAUGCGUAGAUAUGUCAGGCAGUCCAACAAAAGAUAAUUUCCAUAAACAAACAAAUUACCAAUCCAAACUGAUGAACACUUCCAUCCACAGACUUCAGCUAUAUUACAUGGACUUAAUGUUCUAAAAGUCGCUAUGCACAGCGGUCAGCCACCUUCGAGUGAUUAAUCGGCGAAUAAUUGGUGCAUAUUAAUUAGUAAUCGGUGAUUAAUUGUUAGUCGGACCUAAUCGGAUAGGCCCCGCCAACAAUUAAUCACCGAUUAAUUCCUUGUUUUAGAACACUGCAUGGACUCGGGUGCGGGUAUGUGCCUAAGUGUCCACUUCAUCCGUUUUCAGUCUCAAGGUCAAGGACUGGGAUUAUAUGCCACAACUUCAAAUUUUUGUUAGCAUAUUCCUUAUUUUCUCGGUAAAUAGUGUUUACAAAGUGUCUUAGGGCAAUUUUGUUCGGUUACUGGUUUGCCUUUAUAUGAUUACGACAUUCGAAUUUGUCACAGUUGUGUCUGGUAACAGUAUAUCCUAUGCCACCUUUUAAUCCAGAAAAAGUAUAUCCUCCGGUUCCAGAGACUGUGACAGGGCCCAUGAUGAGCUUGCUUUUGGAAGUAACUGCUAAUGCCUGAUGGAAUGCAAUGGGAUAGAUGGUAGAAGGAUGCCUUUGGACUCGUAUUUUGUUCGUACACAAUCAUGAAUAAACUAGGAGUUCCACGCAUAGUUUGUGGCAAAUUAGAAUUACAAACUACGAUUGCUAGGCGAAUAUCCAACUAAAUGUGUCGAGAGUGACACAGAUCUCAAUUCCCACACCCUUAUCUGAGUGCCAAGUGUCCCAUCGUAUUUUGUACAUGUAGGAGGACCCAUCUUAGUCUCUACUGACGUGUUUACAAGGAUCAACACAGAUUAUUAAACCAAAAGGAGAAACCAAGAUACUUUGAUACCACUUAGAAAGAAAUUACCGCUUAAAAACAACCCCAAGAAUAUCCAUACUCC